GGGGAUUUAGCUCAGUGGUGCUACCAUCUGCCUCACAAGCACAAAGCCCCAGGUUCAAUUCCUGGAACCCACC
rnacentral:tRNA from 1 species